UUAUCUCGCCCGGGGUGAGGGACAACUGAGGGAAACUUCAGCUAAUACCACAUAUGGCCUACGGGUCAAAGGCUUCGGCCGCCCUGGGAUGAGCCUGCGUCCCAUUAUUUAAUCCUAGUUGGUGGGUAAUGGCCUACCAAGGGUACGAUGGGUAGCUGGUUUGAGAGAAUGAUCAGCCACACUGGAACUGAGACACGGUCCAGACUCCUACGGGAGGCAGCAGUGGGGAAUAUUGCGCAAGUGGGCGAAAGCCUGACGCAGCCACGCCGCGUGAGUGAUGAAGGCCCGAGGGUCGUAAAGCUCUGUCGGGAGGGAAGAACAAAAUGACGGUACCUCCCAAGAAAGCACCGGCUAACUCCGUG
rnacentral:rRNA from 1 species